CGGCAGGCUAGGCAGGCUCCAAGAUGGGUACCACCCCCGGAGGGUUUUGUGAAGAUCUAUGUAGACGUUGGAGUAUCGGAGGGAACAAACACUGGAACAGCGGCAGCCUUAUGUCGUGAUCGGGAUGGAAAUUAUUUGGGUUCCUCCAUGCUGGUAACUGAGGGGUUGACGGACCCAACUUCACUAGAGGCAAUAGCAUGCAGAGAAGGCAUGGCGUUGGCACUGGACCUGGGAACGAAUCAUAUACAGAUUGCUUCUCACUGUAAGCAGGAGAUCAAGCACAGGAGGCGUUCGAUCCAAGAUAUUCAGUUUGUGCACGAGAAUAGAAAACAAAAUGAGGAAGCUCAUGCCUUAGCUAAGGCGGCUGCUUCUCUCCCUCCCGGGAGACAUGUGUGGCUUGCUACUCUGUCCGAUAUUAUCUGUAUCCCUAUGUGUCCGAACUUUCAAUAA
rnacentral:rRNA from 1 species